rnacentral:rRNA from 1 species
GAUGAACGCUAGCUACAGGCUUAACACAUGCAAGUCGCGGGGCAGCAUGGGGGUUGCUUGCACUCCCCGAUGGCGACCGGCGCACGGGUGAGUAACGCGUAUCCAACCUGCCCUUCACCACGGGAUAACCCGGCGAAAGUCGGACUAAUACCGUAUGUUGUCCAUUGACGGCAUCCGAUUUGGACGAAAGGCUUGGCGGUGAGGGAUGGGGAUGCGUCCGAUUAGCCAGACGGCGGGGUAACGGCCCACCGUGGCUACGAUCGGUAGGGGUUAUGAGAGGGAGGUCCCCCACACUGGAACUGAGACACGGUCCAGACUCCUACGGGAGGCAGCAGUGAGGAAUAUUGGUCAAUGGGCGUAAGCCUGAACCAGCCAAGUAGCGUGCAGGAUGACGGCCCUAUGGGUUGUAAACUGCUUUUAUGCGGGGAUAAAGUGGCCCACGUGUGGGCUUUUGCAGGUACCGCAUGAAUAAGGACCGGCUAAUUCCGUG